ACGGCUCAGUAACACGUAGUCAACAUGCCCAGGGGACGUGGAUAACCUCGGGAAACUGAGGAUAAACCGCGAUAAGUCACUGCUUCUGGAAUGGGCAAUGACUUAAAUCUAUAUGGCCCCUGGAUUGGACUGCGGCCGAUCAGGCUGUUGGUGAGGUAAUGGCCCACCAAACCUGUAACCGGUACGGGCUCUGAGAGGAGGAGCCCGGAGAUGGGCACUGAGACAAGGGCCCAGGCCCUAUGGGGCGCAGCAGGCGCGAAACCUCUGCAAUAGGCGAAAGCCUGACAGGGUUACUCUGAGUGAUUUCCGUUAAGGAGAUCUUUUGGCACCUCUAAAAAUGGUGCAGAAUAAGGGGUGGGCAAGUCUGGUGUCAGCCGCCGCGGUAAUACCAGCACCCCGAGUGGUCGGGACGUUUAUUGGGCCUAAAGCAUCCGUAGCCGGUUCUGCAAGUCUUCCGUUAAAUCCACCUGCUUAACAGAUGGGCUGCGGAAGAUACUAUAGAGCUAGGAGGCGGGAGGGGCAAGCGGUACUCGAUGGGUAGGGGUAAAAUCCGUUGAUCCAUUGAAGACCACCAGUGGCGAAGGCGGCUUGCCAGAACGCGCUCGACGGUGAGGGAUGAAAGCUGGGGGAGCAAACCGGAUUAGAUACCCGGGUAGUCCCAGCUGUAAACGAUGCAGACUCGGUGAUGAAUUGGCUUUAUGCCAAUUCAGUGCCGCAGGAAAGCCGUUAAGUUUGCCGCCUGGGGAGUACGGUCGCAAGACUGAAACUUAAAGGAAUUGGCGGGGGAGCAC
rnacentral:rRNA from 1 species